rnacentral:misc_RNA from 1 species
UGACCAAUCCCGCAAGGGGUCUUGGGGUUCGCUAUUCCAGCGGCCCUUAAAAUCAGUGGCGGUGCCAUCUGGCUCUAAGCGUAGUAACUUUUCUCGCUAUAGGGCUCUUAUGGAUGCUUGCCAUAACCUCAACUUCUCAC